rnacentral:rRNA from 1 species
AAUCCAUAGGUUAAUGAGGCGAACCGGGGGAACUGAAACAUCUAAGUACCCCGAGGAAAAGAAAUCAACCGAGAUUCCCCCAGUAGCGGCGAGCGAACGGGGAGGAGCCCAGAGCCUGAAUCAGCAUGUGUGUUAGUGGAAGCGUCUGGAAAGGCGCGCGAUACAGGGUGACAGCCCCGUACACAAAAGCGCAUGUGCUGUGAGCUCGAUGAGUAGGGCGGGACACGUGGUAUCCUGUCUGAAUAUGGGGGGACCAUCCUCCAAGGCUAAAUACUCCUGACUGACCGAUAGUGAACCAGUACCGUGAGGGAAAGGCGAAAAGAACCCCGGCGAGGGGAGUGAAAAAGAACCUGAAACCGUGUACGUACAAGCAGUGGGAGCCCCACCACCAAAGCAUUCUCUGGUGUUGAAGGCCCUGCAAAGCAGCAUCGCGGUGGCGGAGCGUCGUUUGCGACGCCCAACACACAAAACAAGCGGUGAGUGCUUUGGGGUGGGGUGACUGCGUACCUUUUGUAUAAUGGGUCAGCGACUUAUAUUCUGUAGCAAGGUUAACCGAAUAGGGGAGCCGGAGGGAAACCGAGUCUUAAUUGGGCGUUAAGUUGCAGGGUAUAGACCCGAAACCCGGUGAUCUAGCCAUGGGCAGGUUGAAGGUUGGGUAACACUAACUGGAGGACCGAACCGACUAAUGUUGAAAAAUUAGCGGAUGACCUGUGGCUGGGGGUGAAAGGCCAAUCAAACCGGGAGAUAGCUGGUUCUCCCCGAAAGCUAUUUAGGUAGCGCCUCGUGAAUUCAUCUCCGGGGGUAGAGCACUGUUUCGGCUAGGGGGCCAUCCCGGCUUACCAACCCGAUGCAAACUGCGAAUACCGGAGAAUGUUAUCACGGGAGACACACGGCGGGUGCUAACGUCCGUCGUGAAGAGGGAAACAACCCAGACCGCCAGCUAAGGUCCCAAAGUCAUGGUUAAGUGGGAAACGAUGUGGGAAGGCCCAGACAGCCAGGAUGUUGGCUUAGAAGCAGCCAUCAUUUAAAGAAAGCGUAAUAGCUCACUGGUCGAGUCGGCCUGCGCGGAAGAUGUAACGGGGCUAAACCAUGCAC